UACAGAGGUCUCAAGCGUUGUUCGGAUUCAUUGGGCGUAAAGGGUGCGUAGGUGGCGCUGUAAGUCGGGUGUGAAAUUUCGGAGCUUAACUCCGAAACUGCAUUCGAUACUGCGGUGCUUGAGGACUGGAGAGGAGACUGGAAUUCAUGGUGUAGCAGUGAAAUGCGCAGAUAUCAGGAAGAACACCCGUGGCGAAGGCGGCUAUCUGGGACGGUACUGACGCUGAGACGCGAAAGCGUGGGGAGCGAACAGG
rnacentral:rRNA from 1 species